rnacentral:rRNA from 1 species
GACGAACGCUGUCGGCGCGCCUAACACAUGCAAGUCGAACGAGCGAGAGAGAGCUUGCUUUCUCGAGCGAGUGGCGAACGGGUGAGUAACGCGUGAGGAACCUGCCUCAAAGAGGGGGACAACAGUUGGAAACGACUGCUAAUACCGCAUAAGCCCACGACCCGGCAUCGGGUUGAGGGAAAAGGAGCAAUCCGCUUUGAGAUGGCCUCGCGUCCGAUUAGCUGGUUGGUGAGGUAACGGCCCACCAAGGCGACGAUCGGUAGCCGGACUGAGAGGUUGAACGGCCACAUUGGGACUGAGACACGGCCCAGACUCCUACGGGAGGCAGCAGUGGGGAAUAUUGCACAAUGGGGGAAACCCUGAUGCAGCGACGCCGCGUGGAGGAAGAAGGUCUUCGGAUUGUAAACUCCUGUUGUUGAGGAAGAUAAUGACGGUACUCAACAAGGAAGUGACGGCUAACUACGUGCCAGCAGCCGCGGUAAAACGUAGGUCACAAGCGUUGUCCGGAAUUACUGGGUGUAAAGGGAGCGCAGGCGGGAAGACAAGUUGGAAGUGAAAUCUAUGGGCUCAACCCAUAAACUGCUUUCAAAACUGUUUUUCUUGAGUAGUGCAGAGGUAGGCGGAAUUCCCGGUGUAGCGGUGGAAUGCGUAGAUAUCGGGAGGAACACCAGUGGCGAAGGCGGCCUACUGGGCACCAACUGACGCUGAGGCUCGAAAGUGUGGGUAGCAAACAGG